CGGCGAGUGAAGCGGGAAGAGCUCAAAUUUGUAAUCUGGCACUUUCAGUGUCCGAGUUGUAAUCUCGAGAAGUGUUUUCCGCGCUGGACCGCAUACAAGUCUGUUGGAAUACAGCGUCAUAGUGGUGAGAACCCCGUAACUGAUGCGGAUGCCCAGUGCUUUGUGAUACACUUUCGAAGAGUCGAGUUGUUUGGGAAUGCAGCUCAAAAUGGGUGGUAAAUUCCAUCUAAAGCUAAAUAUUGGCGAGAGACCGAUAGCGAACAAGUACCGUGAGGGAAAGAUGAAAAGCACCUUGGAAAGGGAGUUAACAGUACGUGAAAUUGUUGGAAGGGAAACGCUUGAAGUCAGACUUGCUAUGUGGAUUUAUUCGCUUCGCAGGCCAGCAUCAGUUUCUGGGGGUGGAAAAGGGUUGGGAGAAUGUAGCAACUCCGGUUGUGUUAUAGCUCCUUUCUGGAUUCAUCUUUGGGGACUGAGGAACGCAGCGCGCUUUUUGCAAGGCUCUCGAGCUUUUCGCGCUUAGGAUGCUGGUGGAAUGGCUUUAAACGACCC
rnacentral:rRNA from 1 species